UUUUGCAUAUUUUCCAGGUUCAUCUUCUYCAAUCCAGUGCAAAAGUCCAAGAAGCACGACUUCGUAUGUCCAAAGCAAUAGAAAAAGGGCUGUUGCAGAAGUUUAUGACGACUAUGAUAAUGAAACGGGAGACAACGACUCAGAUGAUAAUCAGGUUGAAAUUGGAUUCAGCAGUGACGAUUCAAUUACUCAUUCUAAACCAGUUGAUGUCAACAAGAAAGAAAAAAU